AUAUGUGCCAAGGAGAAAGGCCGCCGGGAGAGGCAAUUCCCCCUUCCGUCCACUAGAGGGGGGCUCCGCGGGGCCGGCGGGAGGAAGGCAGAGACACCGACACACAGCAUCCCGUCCUGCCGGCCUGCUCUUCAGUUGGCAUGGAUUUGAAAUUACUCCUUUCCUCCCGAUUGAAUUCUGUACCACAUGCUCUCCAGUCCUUCCUAAUGAGGUGGAGCCCUUUGUUUAUGGACAUCUGUCCAUUUCCUUUUUCUCGAAGAUGCUACCAGAUAAAUAGCUCCGGAGUUAAAAUACUGUUGCAAACACGAAGAUUUAACACCCACAGAUAAAAAAGUAAGGCUUUUUUCAGACAUUGGUAUAAUAAACCUUGCCGUAAGAGUCCUCCUGCUUCUAGA
rnacentral:lncRNA from 1 species